rnacentral:snoRNA from 1 species
GGCAUACACUUGAUCGCUGAAUUUUCAGGUAAGUUCCUGUUGACAAAUUUGAAUUCCUGAUGCU